ensembl:snoRNA
AUCCUUUUGUGGUUCAUAAGUGUGAUGAUUGGGUGUUCACGCCUGUGUGUGGCAUGUGCGUCCCUCCUCUAACGACGCCGGCACAGUACCUGUCUGACG